UACGUAGGGGGCUAGCGUUAUCCGGAAUCAUUGGGCGUAAAGAGCGCGCAGGCGGUCGUUUAAGUCGAAUGUGAAAGCCCCCGGCUCAACUGGGGAGGGUCAUUCGAUACUGAUCGACUUGAAGGCAGGAGAGGGAAGUGGAAUUCCGGGUGUAGUGGUGAAAUGCGUAGAUAUCGUAAGGAAGACCAGUGGCGAAGGCGGGUCUCUGGACAGUUCCUGACGCUGAGGCACGAAGGCCAGGGGAGCAAACGGG
rnacentral:rRNA from 1 species